rnacentral:ncRNA from 1 species
GCAAUCUCGGUAGCUAUUCAUUUGAAUACUCUGGGGGAGACGCGUGAGCAGCAUUCUGGCUGAGUGUUCUCACGUAGGGUAGGUAUCGAUAAAUCCGUUAUCGAUAGACGGGAUACUAAUGUCGCUCAGUGACAUGUGAAUGGGAAACCCAACA